CAGCUAACAUGCGACUGCUCUC
rnacentral:piRNA from 1 species